rnacentral:rRNA from 1 species
UACGUAGGGCGCAAGCGUUGUCCGGAAUUAUUGGGCGUAAAGAGCUCGUAGGCGGCCUGUCGCGUCUGCUGUGAAAUCCCGGGGCUUAACCCCGGGCGUGCAGUGGAUACGGGCUGGCUGGAGGCAGGCAGGGGAGAACGGAAUUCCCGGUGUAGCGGUGGAAUGCGUAGAGAUCGGGAGGAACACCAGUGGCGAAGGCGGUGGCCUGGACCGAUGCUGACGCUGAGGCGCGAAAGCGUGGGGAGCGAUCCGG